rnacentral:rRNA from 1 species
UCGAGAAUCUUUCACAAUGGGCGAAAGCCUGAUGGAGCGACGCCGCGUGGGGGAUGAAGGGCUUUGGCCUGUAAACCCCUGUCAUUUGUGACCAAAUUUGUUCGCUAAAUAGGCGAACAAAUUGAUGGUAGCAGAAGAGGAAGGGGCGGCUAACUCUGUGCCAGCAGCCGCGGUAAUACAGAGGUCCCAAGCGUUGUUCGGAUUCACUGGGCGUAAAGGGUGCGUAGGUGGUUGGGUAAGUCUGAUGUGAAAUCUCCGAGCUUAACUCGGAAACGGCAUCGGAUACUAUUCAGCUCGAGGUUUGGAGGGGGGACUGGAAUUCUCGGUGUAGCAGUGAAAUGCGUAGAUAUCGAGAGGAACACCAGUGGCGAAGGCGAGUCCCUGGACAACACCUGACACUGAGGCACGAAAGCUAGGGGAGCAAACAGG